rnacentral:rRNA from 2 species
CCUUAGGGCGAAGAUAGUACAGGACAGUGGCGGAUGGGUGAGUAACGCGUAAGAGACCUGCCUUUCACACNCGGGAUAGCAGCUGGAAACGGCUAUUAAUACCGGAUGACACUUUUUCCCCGCAUGAGGAAGAGGUUAAAGAAUUUCGGUGAAAGAUGGUCUUGCGUCUGAUUAGCUAGUUGGUGGGGUAACGGCCUACCAAGGCGACGAUCAGUAGCCGGCCUGAGAGGGUGUACGGCCACAUUGGGACUGAGACACGGCCCAAACUCCUACGGGAGGCAGCAGUGGGGAAUUUUGCACAAUGGAGGAAACUCUGAUGCAGCGACGCCGCGUGAACGAAGAAGGUCUUCGGAUUGUAAAGUUCUGUCCUGGGUGAAGAUGAUGACGGUAACUCAGGAGGAAGCCCCGGCUAACUACGUGCCAGCCGCCGCGGUAA